rnacentral:misc_RNA from 1 species
GAAAUGCGAUAAGUAGUGUGAGUUGCAGAAUUCAGUGAAUCAUCGAAUCUUUGAACGCACAUUGCGCCCCUUGGUAUUCCAUGGGGCAUGCCUGUUCGAGCGUCAUUUGUACCCUCAAGCUCUGCUUGGUGUUGGGUGUUUGUCCCGUCUCCGCGCGUGGACUCGCCCCAAAGUGAUUGGCAGCCGGCGUACUGGUCCCGGAGCGCAGCACAUGUCGCGCAAACGAGUGCCUUGGUACGGCGGCGUCCAUAAGCCCCUCUCUCACGCUCUUGACCUCGGAUCAGGUAGGGAUACCCGCUGAACUUAAGC